AUUGAACGCUGGCGGCAGGCCUAACACAUGCAAGUCGAACGAGUGGCGGACGGGUGAGUAAUGCCUGGGAAACUGCCUGCUGGAGGGGGAUAACUACUGGAAACGGUAGCUAAUACCGCAUACCAUCGGAUGUGCCCAGAUGGGAUUAGCUAGUAGGUGGGGUAAAGGCUCACCUAGGCGACGAUCCCUAGCUGGUCUGAGAGGAUGACCAGCCACCCUGGGACUGAGGCACGGUCCAGACUCCUACGGGAGGCAGCAGUGGGGAAUAUUGCGCAAUGGGCGCAAACCUGAUGCAGCCAUGCCGCGUGUAUGAAGAAGGCCUUCGGGUUGUAAAGUUCUUUCAGCGGGGAGGCGUUACCCGCAGAAGAAGCACCGGCUAACUCCGUGCCAGCAGCCGCGGUAAUAC
rnacentral:rRNA from 1 species